rnacentral:rRNA from 1 species
CAGUAGCCGCGGUAAUACGAGGGGGGCAAGCGUUGUUCGGAAUUACUGGGCGUAAAGCGCACGUAGGCGGCUUUGUAAGUCAGAGGUGAAAGCCUGGAGCUCAACUCCAGAACUGCCUUUGAGACUGCAUCGCUCGAAUCCGGGAGAGGUGAGUGGAAUUCCGAGUGUAGAGGUGAAAUUCGUAGAUAUUUGGAAGAACACCAGUGGCGAAGGCGGCUCACUGGACCGGUAUUGACGCUGAGGUGCGAAAGCGUGGGGAGCAAACAGGAUUAGAGACCCCAGUAGUCCCUGUCUCUUAUAC